AUUGAACGCUGGCGGCAGGCUUAACACAUGCAAGUCGAGCGAGCGGCGGACGGGUGAGUAAUGUCUGGGAAACUGCCUGAUGGAGGGGGAUAACUACUGGAAACGGUAGCUAAUACCGCAUACCAUCAGAUGUGCACAGAUGGGUUUAGCUAGUAGGUGGGGUAAUGGAUAACCUAGGCGACGAUCCCCAGCUGGUCUGAGAGGAUGACAAGCCACACUGGAACUGAGACACGGUCCAGACUCGUCGGGGUGGCAGAAGUUGUGAAUAUUGCACAAGGGGCGCAAGACGGAUGCAGCCAUGCCGCUGGUGUGAGGAAGGCCUUCGGGUUGUAAAGCACUUUCAGCGAGGAGGGGUUACUCGCCGAAGAAGCACCGGCUAACUCCGUGCCAGCAGCCGCGGUAAUUC
rnacentral:rRNA from 1 species